rnacentral:rRNA from 1 species
UACGUAGGGUGCAAGCGUUGUCCGGAAUUAUUGGGCGUAAAGAGCUCGUAGGCGGUCUGUUGCGUCGGCUGUGAAAACCCGGGGCUCAACCCCGGGCCUGCAGCCGAUACGGGCAGACUAGAGUUCGGCAGGGGAGACUGGAAUUCCUGGUGUAGCGGUGAAAUGCGCAGAUAUCAGGAGGAACACCGGUGGCGAAGGCGGGUCUCUGGGCUGACACUGACGCUGAGGCGCGAAAGCCAGGGGAGCGAACGGG